UCGAGAAUCUUCCACAAUGGACGAAAGUCUGAUGGAGCGACGCCGCGUGAUUGAUGAAGCUUUUCGGAGUGUAAAGAUCUUUUAUGAGGGAAGAAGUUUAUUGACGGUACCUCAUGAAUAAGGGGCUCCUAAUCUCGUGCCAGCAGGAGCGGUAAUACGAGAGCCCCGAGCGUUAUCCGGAAUUAUUGGGCGUAAAGGGUGCGUAGGUGGCACUGUUAGUCGAUUGUUAAAACUUGGGGCUUAACCCCAAAGAUGCGAUCGAAACGGCAGAGCUAGAGAGUGUGAGGGGUGAAUGGAACUCAUGGUGUAGGGGUGAAAUCCGUUGAUAUCAUGGGGAACACCAAAAGCGAAGGCAAUUCACUGGCACAUAUCUGACACUCAAGCACGAAAGCGUGGGUAG
rnacentral:rRNA from 1 species